rnacentral:rRNA from 1 species
UACGGAGGGUGCAAGCGUUAUCCGGAUUCACUGGGUUUAAAGGGUGCGUAGGCGGGUUGGUAAGUUGGAUGUGAAAACUAUGGGCUCAACCCAUAGCCUGCAUCCAAUACUGACGAACUAGAGUUCUGGAGGGGGUAGCGGAAUUCCUGGUGUAGCGGUGAAAUGCGCAGAUAUCAGGAGGAACACCGGUGGCGAAAGCGCGAGACUGGGCCAUAACUGACGCUGAGGAACGAAAGCCAGGGGAGCAAAAGGG